GUGGUAAUGCCGGAUGCUCCAGCAGACCGCAUGGUGUGUUGGGAAAGCCUUUGCGGCAUGGGAUGGGGUCGCGUCCUAUCAGCUUGAUGGCGGGGUAACGGCCCACCAUGGCUUCGACGGGUAGCCGGCCUGAGAGGGCGACCGGCCACAUUGGGACUGAGAUACGGCCCAGACUCCUACGGGAGGCAGCAGUGGGGAAUAUUGCACAAUGGGCGCAAGCCUGAUGCAGCGACGCCGCGUGAGGGAUGGAGGCCUUCGGGUUGUAAACCUCUUUUGUUAGGGAGCAAGGCAUUUUGUGUUGAGUGUACCUUUCGAAUAAGCACCGGCUAACUACGUGCCAGCAGCCGCGGUAAUACGUAGGGUGCAAGCGUUAUCCGGAAUUAUUGGGCGUAAAGGGCUCGUAGGCGGUUCGUCGCGUCCGGUGUGAAAGUCCAUCGCUUAACGGUGGAUCCGCGCCGGGUACGGGCGGGCUUGAGUGCGGUAGGGGAGACUGGAAUUCCCGGUGUAACGGUGGAAUGUGUAGAUAUCGG
rnacentral:rRNA from 1 species